UGGGGGCGUAGCUCAGUUGGGAGAGUGCUUGACUGGCAGUCAAGAGGUCGUGGGUUCGAGCCCCAUCGUCUCCAU
rnacentral:tRNA from 1 species